UGGGGAAUAUUGCACAAUGGGCGCAAGCCUGAUGCAGCCAUGCCGCGUGUAUGAAGAAGGCCUUCGGGUUGUAAAGUACUUUCAGCGGGGAGGAAGGGAGUAAAGUUAAUACCUUUGCUCAUUGACGUAACCCGCAGAAGAAGCACCGGCUAACUCCGUGCCAGCAGCCGCGGUAAUACGGAGGGUGCAAGCGUUAAUCGGAAUUACUGGGCGUAAAGCGCACGCAGGCGGUUUGUUAAGUCAGAUGUGAAAUCCUCGGGCUCAACCUGGGAAGUGCCUCUGAUACUGGAAAGCUUGAGUCUCGUAGAGGGGGGUAGAAUUCCAGGGGUAGCGGUGAAAUGCGUAGAGAUCUGCAGGAAUACCGGUGGCGAAGGCGGCCCCCUGGACGAAGACUGACGCUCAGGUGCGAAAGCGUGGGGAGCAAACAGG
rnacentral:rRNA from 1 species